rnacentral:rRNA from 1 species
AGCAGUAGCCACGGUAAUACGGAGGGUGCAAGCGUUAAUCGGAAUUACUGGGCGUAAAGCGUGCGUAGGCGGUUCGUUAAGUCUGUUGUGAAAGCCCCGGGCUCAACCUGGGAAUGGCAAUGGAUACUGGCGAGCUAGAGUGUGUCAGAGGAUGGUGGAAUUCCCGGUGUAGCGGUGAAAUGCGUAGAGAUGCGGAGGAACACCAGUGGCGAAGGCGACUCUCUGGUCUGUAACUGACGCUGAGGAGCGAAAGCGUGGGGAGCGAACAGGAUUAGAUACCCCGGUAGUCCCUGUCUCUUAUAC